UACGUAGGGUGCAAGCGUUAAUCGGAAUUACUGGCGUAAAGCGUGCGCAGGCGGUUAUGUAAGACAGGUGUGAAAUCCCCGGGCUUAACCCUGGGAACUGCAUUUGUGACUGCAUAGCUAGAGUACGGUAGAGGGGGAUGGAAUUCCGCGUGUAGCAGUGAAAUGCGUAGAUAUGCGGAGGAACACCGAUGGCGAAGGCAAUCCCCUGGACCUGUACUGACGCUCAUGCACGAAAGCGUGGGGAGCAAACAGG
rnacentral:rRNA from 1 species